rnacentral:rRNA from 1 species
UGGGGGAUAUUGCACAAUGGGCGAAAGCCUGAUGCAGCGACGCCGCGUGAGUGAUGAAGGCCUUCGGGUUGUAAACUUCUUUUGCUCUGAACAAGGCAUGCCUUUGGGGUGUGUUGAGUGUAGGGGUUGAUUAGCGCCGGCUAACUACGUGCCAGCAGCCGCGGUAAUACGUAGGGCGCGAGCGUUGUCCGGAAUUAUUGGGCGUAAAGGGCUUGUAGGUGGCUGGUUGCGUCUGUCGUGAAAGCUCAUGGCUUAACUGUGGGUUUGCGGUGGGUACGGGCUGGCUUGAGUGCAGUAGGGGAGGCUGGAAUUCCUGGUGUAGCGGUGGAAUGCGCAGAUAUCAGGAGGAAUACCGGUGGCGAAGGCGGGUCUCUGGGCUGUUACUGACGCUGAGGAGCGAAAGCGUGGGGAGCGAACAGG